UAUUCACGUUUAUUAUUUGCCUUUUACUGUACAUUACGUAACCGGUAACCGGAGAUUAACAUAAUGUGCGUGUAGAGCUAAGCUUGCAAGCUAAUUGUUUUGUGUUGUAAUACUGUAUUUCAUAAACAACGUACCAUAUUUACACACGUGUAUGUUGAAUUAUGCAGACUAUCGUUUUUUUAUCUAUGUUGGUUUAGACAUGUUUACAAACUUGCUAAGUUGCUAAGCUAAAUACAAAUACAAAUACCAGCUAAACUGUUACCGGUAAAAUUUGUUCUCAUGAUCAAACUCAAGAAACUCUAAGUACAGAUGAUUUGUUUAAAGUUAUAUGUAUUUUACUGUUGUAUUUACUUGAAGCUUUCUUAGAUUUUGAAACGAAGUAAACACGUAAUGUGUGUUGCUAAUGUUGGGCCAUGUAAUAUGUAAUACAUUAACGUUUUAAUGAAUAGUCUAACGAGUUAUAGUCGUUGUACUCUAUUGUUAUAAUGUCUUUUUGACUGAAUACAUGUUUGUUUUAUUUGUCUAUAUCCUAGAUUCGCAGCUGGACACAUCCUUCUACACUGUAUGCAAACAUGCAACAUCAUUACACACAGUACAAGGAGUCUGACUGGCAUAUGAGGAGCAAAGGAACCCAGGCAGUAGCAUCGUUUCACAAUGUUUCCAUCACCAUCAUCAGUGGAUGCCUUUGCCGUCCGUAGCCUGAGAUUUCAGAUUUGCAGCAAAAAAAAAUUUAUUUUCUCAUUUAUUGGAAUGCUGUGCAGGUAUUUGUACCUUGCAGCCAUCCAUUACAAUGUCACCAAGCCGUAACAAAAGCAGGAGAGGGAAAGUACAAGGCUAUGUUCCCAAAACACACAAGUGACAUACCGUA